GACGAACGCUGGCGGCGUGCCUAACACAUGCAAGUCGUACGGGACCGGGGGCAACUCCGGUUCAGUGGCAGACGGGUGCGUAACACGUGAGGAACUUGUCCGGUGGCGGGGGAUAGCCGGCCCAACGGCCGGGUAAUACCGCAUACGCUCGUUCGGGGGCAUCCCUGGGCGAGGAAAGCAGCCGCAAGGUUGCGCCGACGGAGGGCCUCGCGACCUAUCAGCUUGUUGGCGGGGUAACGGCCCACCAAGGCUACGACGGGUAGCUGGUCUGAGAGGAUGAUCAGCCACAUUGGGACUGAGACACGGCCCAGACUCCUACGGGAGGCAGCAGUGGGGAAUAUUGCGCAAUGGCCGCAAGGCUGACGCAGCGACGCCGCGUGUGGGAUGACGGUCUUCGGAUUGUAAACC
rnacentral:rRNA from 1 species